rnacentral:lncRNA from 1 species
UGGUGAGAGGUACACUGGGCCCGAAAAUAUUUUCCAGUGCCUUUUCUGUGAUGCGACACCAGUCGAAGAAAAGGGGUCCAGUCACGUCGAAGAAGAGGAAGGUGUCCGUCUUAGAGGGAGAUGUUGGCAACAACGUCCGCAUUAAAACCUGAUGCGCAUCACUGAUCCACUUGUGAUGGAAGGAUCGGAUCGCUGGCGACUCUGGCGACUCUGCAAAAAGUGCUUCAUGUCUCAAUCAAAU